GUUGAGAAGCGCAGGGGGCGGUGUGCAAAGGAAGGCGGCGCGCGUCAGCCGUCACCCAAUACCGCGCACCCCGAGCGGCAGACCCGCCUCCGACAGGAGCACUAGGUCGACUGCUCGGUGCCAUAGUUGGGUCAAGGUUGACACUGUAGGCGACAAACGUCUCCCUGGGCGCCCCAAAGCUGACACCCGAAAAUCCCUGCGGUUUUUCUACCCUGGAUACCGCCGAUCCCCUUGCGCUCACCCGUUUCUCCCCGGGGCCUGACCCGGCCCGCUGGCCCCGCCCAUUCGCAAUGGCGCUCUCGGCACAACCAUGCUAGCCAGCAACGCCCCGGAAUCUCCCUCCGCCGACGCCCCGCACCCGAGCCCAGAGGGAGACGGCCUUCGCCUGCCACCCACGACAGCUGUCCCGCCACCGGGAGCAGGGCCUGGGAGGGCUUGAGUACCCUAGUCCCUGAGUCCAGGAUCAGGGCGGAGGACCAGAAACUCGGACUCCGUGGACUCAGCUUGCUGGACAGAAAGUGACUUAAAUUCCGGGGCUGGCGCUUUCCAGGAUCCUCCAAUCCGGGCACCCUGUGCCAGGUACUGUGCGGAGGAGGGGGAGGGAAGAGGGGUUUCCCCAAUUUACGAUGAGGAACUUGGGGCUCAGACAGGGACAGAACUUGUCUAAUUGCACCCAGCAGUUGGUGACAGAGGCACGAUUCCACCCCAAUUCCACAAAGGCCUGAGGUACUUACCCUGUAUCUGUACUGGAGAAGUCAGUCUCUGGGGCUCAGAAACAUAAACAGCCAAGGGAGAAUGAGGUCCCCGGAACUCCACGAUGGCGAGGCUCACCUCAGCAGCAGCAGGGCCCACUCCUCCCGACCGGGGAAACGGAUUUGCUGAGCAUCGCCCUGGGAGAGCUGUGCAGUGAGGCCAAGCUCGCAGGCACAGAGAAAGCUGCCUUGAGUGGAGCCAGACAGGAGAGAGGUGGACAGAGGGUAGGCACUGGAAACUCACCUGUUAGGUCCAUGGCGUCGUCAGAUGUGAAGAAUAAAGCCAUAGAGAGGACACCUCUCUCUCUUGCUGUGGCCACCAGUGAAGAUGGUCACACGGGUCAGCUGCAGCCAGCAGGGGAAGCCCCGAUUCCAGGGUAAGCGACCAUGUUAGAAAGUGAGAGGGCAGCGAGGGGAAGGGUCCUCCCACCCAAAGAGGGCCUGACCCCUUGACAGCCAAGCCAAGCCAGAGACCCAGAGCCCAGGGUCCUUGAGACGCAUGGGCACUGGAGAGGAGGCUCCCGUUGCUCCAGCCCCUCCCUGACACCAAACACCAAUAAAAAUGCUGGGUCUGUUGGGAGGUAGAGGGGAGCCGAUCUGGCCCGUGCAAGCACCCGUCUGACACUCCUCCACCCACAAUGGGAUGGGGCCAGACCCAGGCCUGUCAGAGCAGCUGCAGGGCCCAUGGGUGGCAGCCUUCUUGAGGGACUGAUGGGCCAAAACACGGGCACCCCCUCCACCCUCAGGGUCUUCAGUCAAAGGGCAUGGUGGCAGCUUGACCUGUGUGCAAAGGAGCUGGGGCCUGGAGUGGUAGGCGGUGGUGUGGUGGCUGCCCUGGUGCACUGGACACUCCCUGGGCACGGGAGCAGGGGCUGUGCAGAGGCCUGGAGCUGGGCUCUAGCCCUGGAGCCCACAACCGUGGGUGGCCAGACCUGCUCCGGCCAUCCGGGCUCCACAUGCCAGCUGUAGGGCAGUGGCACUGCCCCUCUGCUCGAAAACCUGUUCUUAAAACUGACUCCCCCUUAGAUGGAGGUUGCAAUGAGCAAAGAUGCACCACCACUGCACUCCAGCCUGGGUGACAGUAAGACUCUACCUCAAAAAACAAAACCAAAAAACCUGACUCCCCCUAAUAAAAACAUUCCAGUACCCUCUACAAGAUCUUCAGUAGCUAUCCAGCACCCUUCACUCCCACCAGGGGCUCUGUCCCCAGGGGACACACCAGGCUCACUACUGCCGCAUGGAGCACUCUGAGGCCAGCUCCUCCUCAGCCUUCAGGGCUGUUUAAGCCGCAGGCUCUCCCUGCCGCCCAGUUCACUGAGUCCCUUUUAAGGUUUCGUCUCACCACCACCCUUUCUUCCUAAUAGCAUCCAAACCUGGCAAGGUUCUGAUUAGCAGCUGGGUGUCUCACUGCCUGGAAUGCAGGCGCUUGGGGUCCGGGCCUCAGCUGUUCUGCUGCCACUGGAACACACCAGGUGCUCAGCAAGAUGGGAACAGGAGCAACAACUCUCACACCUGCAGGCCCCGGGCUACCACACCACCUGUUCAGGAGACAGCCCUAUCUGGAGGGUAUGGCUUCCCUCUAACCAGAGGAAAGCCGAGACAGGGCUGGCUGAGAGCCAGCGUUCUCAGCCCUCACCUUGCUGACUGCCCUGACACCGGAGGGAAGCCAGGCAGAGGCCAUGAAGCUGCCAGGCUGUUGGAGCCAACCCAACCACCCAGUGGCCCAACUCCGGGUCAGGAAACAGCCACUGUCCUGAGGGCUGUGCCCAGAGGAAGGAACAGACAGUAUAUUGCUGCGUGAUUUUAUUACUAUAAAUAUACAGUAAAAACAAACGGGCCCAUCUGAGCACAUCAAAUGGCA